UACGUAGGGUGCAAGCGUUGUCCGGAAUUACUGGGCGUAAAGGGCGCGUAGGCGGCUUAUCAAGUCAGGCGUGAAAUUCCCGGGCUCAACCUGGGGGCUGCGCUUGAUACUGAUUGGCUUGAAUGCGGGAGAGGAUAGUGGAAUUCCCAGUGUAGAGGUGAAAUUCGUAGAUAUUGGGAAGAACACCGGUGGCGAAGGCGGCUAUCUGGCCCGUAAUUGACGCUGAGGCGCGAAAGCGUGGGGAGCAAACAGG
rnacentral:rRNA from 1 species